CACAUGCAAGUCGAGCGGUAGAGAGGAGCUUGCUUCUCUUGAGAGCGGCGGACGGGUGAGUAAUGCCUAGGAAUCUGCCUAGUGGUGGGGGAUAACGUUCGGAAACGGACGCUAAUACCGCAUACGUCCUACGGGAGAAAGCGGGGGAUCUUCGGACCUCGCGCCAUUAGAUGAGCCUAGGCCGGAUUAGCUAGUUGGUGAGGUAAUGGCUCACCAAGGCGACGAUCCGUAACUGGUCUGAGAGGAUGAUCAGUCACACUGGAACUGAGACACGGUCCAGACUCCUACGGGAGGCAGCAGUGGGGAAUAUUGGACAAUGGGCGAAAGCCUGAUCCAGCCAUGCCGCGUGUGUGAAGAAGGUCUUCGGAUUGUAAGCACUUUAAGUUGGGAGGAAGGGUUGUAGAUUAAUACUCUGCAAUUUUGACGUUACCGACAGAAUAAGCACCGGCUAACUUCGUGCCAGCAGCCGCGGUAAUACGAAGGGUGCAAGCGUUAAUCGGAAUUACUGGGCGUAAGCGCGCGUAGGUGAUUCGUUAAGUUGUAUGUG
rnacentral:rRNA from 1 species